UACGAAGGGGGCUAGCGUUGCUCGGAAUCACUGGGCGUAAAGCGCACGUAGGCGGAUCUUUAAGUCAGGGGUGAAAUCCUGGAGCUCAACUCCAGAACUGCCUUUGAUACUGGGGAUCUCGAGUCCGGAAGAGGUGAGUGGAACUGCGAGUGUAGAGGUGAAAUUCGUAGAUAUUCGCAAGAACACCAGUGGCGAAGGCGGCUUCCUGGCCUGUUCUUGACGCUGAGGCGCGAAAGCUAGGGGAGCAAACGGG
rnacentral:rRNA from 1 species